rnacentral:rRNA from 1 species
UACGGGGGGAGCAAGCGUUGUUCGGAUUUACUGGGCGUAAAGGGCGCGUAGGCGGCCACCGCAAGUCGACUGUGAAAUCUCCGGGCUUAACCCGGAAAGGUCAGCCGAUACUGCAGGGCUAGAGUGCAGAAGGGGCAACUGGAAUUCUCGGUGUAGCGGUGAAAUGCGUAGAUAUCGAGAGGAACACCUGCGGCGAAGGCGGGUUGCUGGGCUGACACUGACGCUGAAGUGCGAAAGCUAGGGGAGCGAACGGG